rnacentral:rRNA from 1 species
ACGUAGGACCCAAGCGUUAUCCGGAGUGACUGGGCGUAAAGAGUUGCGUAGGUGGUCAGUAAAGCGAAUAGUGAAAUCUGGGGGCUCAACCUCACAGGCUAUUAUUCGAACUCACUGACUCGAGAAUGAUAGAGGUAACUGGAAUUUCUGAAGUAGGGGUAAUAUCCGUAGAUAUCAGAAGGAACACCAAUGGCGUAGGCAGGUUACUGGAUCAUUUCUGACACUGAGGCACGAAAGCGUGGGGAGCGAACCGGA